AAACCAAGUUGUGGACACUUCCGCAAAAGGUCCUUUAAUCAUUCCCAAGUCUCAAACAAAAUUUCAAGCUCUAUCUGAACAAAUAAAGAUAUCUCAUUACGAAGCUU